GUGCUCGCUUCAGCAGCCUGUAUACUAAAAUUGGAAUGAUACAGAGAAUAUUAGAAAGGCCGUUGUGCAGGGAUGACAUGCAAAUUCGUGAAGUGUUCCAUAUUUUU